ACGGCUGCUCAGUAACACGUAGUCAACUUACCCUAUGGACGAGGAUAAUCUCGGGAAACUGAGCAUAAUACUCGAUAGAUCAUAAUGCCUGGAAUGGUUUAUGGUUGAAAUGAUUCGUCGCCAUAGGAUGGGACUGCGGCCUAUCAGCUUGUUGGUGAGGUAAUGGCCCACCAAGGCGAUUACAGGUACGGGCUCUGAGAGGAGAAGCCCGGAGAUGGGUACUGAGACAAGGACCCAGGCCCUAUGGGGCGCAGCAGGCGAGAAAACUUUGCGAUGUGCGAAAGCACGACAAGGUUAAUCCGAGUGAUUUCUGCUAAAGAAAUCUUUUGCAAGUCAUGAAACCACUAGUGAAUAAGGGGUGGGCAAGUUCUGGUGUCAGCCGCCGCGGUAAAACCAGCACCUCAAGUGGUCAGGAGGAUUAUUGGGCCUAAAGCAUCCGUAGCCGGCUCUGUAAGUUUUCGGUUAAAUCCAUGUGCUCAACGCAUGGGCUGCCGAAAAUACUGCAUAGCUAGGGAGUGGGAGAGGUAGACGGCACUCGGUAGGAAGGGGUAAAAUCCUUUGAUCUAUCGAUGACCACCUGUGGCGAAGGCGGUCUACCAGAACACGUUCGACGGUGAGGGAUGAAAGCUGGGGGAGCAAACCGGAUUAGAUACCCGGGUAGUCCCAGCUGUAAACGAUGCAGACUCGAUGAUGCAUUGGCAUAUAGCCAGUGCAGUGUCGCAGGGAAGCCGUUAAGUCUGCCGCCUGGGAAGUACGUACGCAAGUAUGAAACUUAAAGGAAUUGGCGGGGGGAGCAG
rnacentral:rRNA from 1 species